rnacentral:sRNA from 1 species
AUAAGAAAAAGACGCCUUGGUAGUAAUGCCAAGAAGCUGAAGGUCAUCGCGGUCUGAGUCUUGGGAGGAAGGACCCUUAGGCGCGCCUCACGGUUCGCAGCCGCCCAACCGGAUUGUUAACCCAAUCGGUAAGGGAACAGGGUCAGUUUAGACGCGGAACUUAACAAAGGCAGGGCUUGGCUCUGCCUUUUCUU